UACGUAGGGUGCAAGCGUUGUCCGGAAUUAUUGGGCGUAAAGAGCUCGUAGGCGGUUUGUUGCGUCGGCUGUGAAAUCCCGAGGCUCAACCUCGGGUCUGCAGUCGAUACGAGCAAACUAGAGUGUUGCAGGGGGAGACUGGAAUUCCUGGUGUAGCGGUGAAAUGCGCAGAUAUCAGGAGGAACACCGGUGGCGAAGGCGGGUCUCUGGGCAACAACUGACGCUGGAGGAGCGAAGGCGUGGGGAGCGAACAGG
rnacentral:rRNA from 1 species